GUAUCUAAUCCUGUUUGCUCCCCACGCUUUCGUCCCUGAGCGUCAGUAUCGAGCCAGAUAACCGCCUUCGCUACUGGUGUUCUUCAUGAUCUCUACGCAUUUCACCGCUACACCAGGAAUUCCACUUUCCUCUCCCGCACUCGAGUCAUUCAGUAUUCGGCGCACCCUCCCAGUUGAGCCGGGAGAUUUCACACCAGACUUACCAGACCGCCUACACACCCUUUACGCCCAGUAACUCCGAACAACGCUUGCUGCCUACGUAUUACCGCGGCUGCUGG
rnacentral:rRNA from 1 species